rnacentral:rRNA from 1 species
UACAGAGGGUGCGAGCGUUAUUCAUAGUUACUGGGCGUAAAGGGUACGUAGGCAGAGCAUAAAAAUUUUUGUUAGAAAAUCUGGAGUCAUAACUUCAGAACCAGACUUUUAGAUUAGUGCUCUUUGAGUUAAUAACGGGUCGGAGGAACUUUUAGCGAAAAGGUAAAAUUUUUAAAUUCUAAAAGGAACGCCAAAAGGCAAAAGGCAUCCCUCUAGUGUUGACUGACGCUGAGGUACGGAAGCGUAGGGAUCAAACAGG